UACGUAGGGGGCAAGCGUUGUCCGGAAUCAUUGGGCGUAAAGAGCGCGUAGGCGGUCCGGUAAGUCCGCUGUGAAAGUCAAGGGCUCAACCCUUGAAUGCCGGUGGAUACUGUCGGGCUAGAGUCCGGAAGAGGCGAGUGGAAUUCCGUGGUGUAGCGGUGAAAUGCGCAGAUAUCAGGAGGAACACCGGUGGCGAAGGCGGGUCUCUGGACAGUUCCUGACGCUGAGGCACGAAGGCCAGGGGAGCAAACGGG
rnacentral:rRNA from 1 species